GUGAGUAUAGCUUAAAGGUAAAGCGGCUGUAUGUGGCAUAGUAGAUUCUCUGUUCAACUCAGAGUAUUCACC
rnacentral:tRNA from 1 species